rnacentral:misc_RNA from 1 species
UCCUGGUUAACCCAGGCAGUCUCCCUAGAGUGCCCAACUUAAUGCUGGCAACUAAGGACAGGGGUUGCGCUCGUUGCGAGACUUAACCCAACAUUUCACAACACGAGCUGACGACAGCCAUGCAGCGCCUGUCUCUACAUUCCCCGAAGGGCACUCCAUCAUCUCUGACGGAUUCGUAGGAUUUCAAACCCAGGUAAGGUUCUGCGCGUUGCUUCGAAUUAAACCACAUAAUCCACCGCUUGUGCGGGCCCCCGUCAAUUCCUUUGAGUUUUAGUCUUGCGACCGUACUCCCCAGGCGGAACACUUAAUGCGUUAGCUUCGUCACGGCAGUCGUUAAUUACCACCACAACUAGUGUUCAUCGUUUACGGCGUGGACUAC